rnacentral:rRNA from 1 species
UCCUGGCUCAGAACAAACGCUAGCGGCGUGCCUAAUACAUGCAAGUCGUGGGAGAAAGUCACCUUCGGGUGACGAGUAAACCGGCGAACGGGUGAGUAACACGUAAGCAACUUACCUUCAAGUUCGGGAUAACUCGGCUAAAGCUGGGCUAAUACCGGAUGUGGACAUAUGUCCUCAUGAAUAUAUGUCUAAAGGCAACCUCUACCUGUAAGUUGUCGCUUGAAGAUAGGCUUGCGGCCCAUUAGUUAGUUGGUGAGGUAACGGCUCACCAAGGCAACGAUGGGUAGCCGGCCUGAGAGGGUGAUCGGCCACAUUGGGACUGAGAUACGGCCCAGACUCCUACGGGAGGCAGCAGUAGGGAAUAUUGCGCAAUGGGCGAAAGCCUGACGCAGCAACGCCGCGUGAGGGAUGACUGCCUUCGGGUUGUAAACCUCUGUUGAGUGGGAAGAAACUUUGUGCCGUUAAUAGCGGUAUGAACUGACGGUACCGCUCGAGGAAGCCCCGGCGAACUACGUGCCAGCAGCCGCGGUAAUACGUAGGGGGCGAGCGUUGUACGGAAUUACUGGGCGUAAAGAGAGCGUAGGCGGGAGAGUAAGUUAGGAGUGAAAUGCAUGGGCUUAACCCAUGGUCCGCUCUUAAUACUGCUUUCCUUGAGUGUAGGAGGGGAAAGCGGAAUUCCGGGUGUAGCGGUGGAAUGCGUAGAUAUCCGGAAGAAUAUCAAUGGCGAAGGCUGCUUUCUGGCCUAUUACUGACGCUGAGGCUCUAAAGCUAGGGGAGCGAACAGGAUUAGAUACCCUGGUAGUCCUAGCCGUAAACGUUGGGCACUAGAUGUUGGAGGGUUUCCCUUCAGUGUCGUAGCUAACGCGAUAAGUGCCCCGCCUGGGGAGUACGCCCGCAAGGGUGAAACUCAAAGGAAUUGACGGGGGCCCGCACAAGCGGUGGAGCAUGUGCUUUAAUUCGAUGAUACGCGAGGAACCUUACCUGGGUUUGACAUGGGAGUGAAAGCCGCCAGAGAUGGUGGCCCUUCUCUUCGGAGAACGCUCCACACAGGUGCUGCAUGGUUGUCGUCAGCUCGUGUCGUGAGAUGUUGGGUUAAGUCCCAUAACGAGCGCAACCCUUGCCCUUAGUUGCCAGCGGUUCGGCCGGGCACUCUAAGGGGACUGCCUGGUAUUUCCAGGAGGAAGGGGAGGAUGACGUCAAAUCAUCAUGGCCCUUAAGCCCAGGGCUAGACACGUGCUACAAUGGCCGGUACAAAGGGAUGCAAUGCCGCGAGGCUGAGCAAAUCCCUAAAACCGGUCUCAGUUCGGAUUGGAGUCUGCAAUUCGACUCCAUGAAGUUGGAAUCGCUAGUAAUCGCGGAUCAGAAUGUCGCGGUGAAUAUGUUCCCGGGCCUUGUACACACCGCCCGUCAAGCCACGAAAGAGGACAAUGCCUGAAGUCAUUAUCCCGAUCCCGUCCAGGGUAGGGAAGUGCCGAGGGUAGGUUCUCAAUCGGGGCUAAGUCG